GAUGAACGCUGGCGGCGUGCUUAACACAUGCAAGUCGAACGGAAAGGCCCAAGCUUGCUUGGGUACUCGAGUGGCGAACGGGUGAGUAACACGUGGGUGAUCUGCCCUGCACUUCGGGAUAAGCCUUGGAAACUGGGUCUAAUACCGGAUAGGACCACGUCUUGGAUGUUGUGGUGGAAAGUUUUUUCGGUGUGGGAUGAGCUCGCGGCCUAUCAGCGUGUUGGUGGGGUAAUGGCCUACCAAGGCGUCGACGGGUAGCCGGCCCGUGAGGGUGUACGGCCACAUUGGGCCUGAGAUACGGCCCAGACUCCUACGGGAGGCAGCAGUGGGGAAUAUUGCACAAUGGGCGCAAGCCUGAUGCAGCGACGCCGCGUGGGGGAUGACGGCUUUCGGGUUGUAAACUCCUUUCGCUAGGGAAGAAGCGUUUUUGUGACGGUACCUGGAGAAGAAGCACCGGCUAACUACGUG
rnacentral:rRNA from 1 species